UGAGAUAUAACCACAGGUUCAGAACACCCUGUUAUAAAGGAGCUGAACAUCCUUGGAGCAACACAUGACAUCUAGAACUCUACAUGGUCCAAGGUCUGUCUCACAAGGAGGACUGUGUAAUUAAAGCUAACUACAAACUAAGCUGAUUCUACUGUCAGAUUUGGUCCAAACCUACUUUUCUUUUAACAACCUGGUAACCAAGUGCCAUACAAGAUACACUGAACUCAAAUCUACAGAGACUAUCAAUCCUUGAACAGCAAGUUCAGAGCAGUUGAAUAUGACAAUAGCCAUGUAGGAUGUGCCUGCUUCCCCUCUGCCAUGAUUUUAAGUUUCCUGAGGCUCCCCCAGUCAUCUUUCCUGUACAGCCUAUGGAACCAUGAGCCAGUUAAACCUCUUUUCUUUAUAAAAUGCCAAGUCUCAGCUUUAAUGCUAUCAAUGAGAACAAGAAUAUUUGGCUUAUCUUCAACAUCUUCAUACCAUCAGAUAACUCCAAAGUUAACACAGGAUACGUCAUCCACAUUGCUGCCAGAGCAUUCUCUCUGAAAUGAUUAUCUGAUCAUCAUCCUCUCUUCUUCUCCACAAGCUCAAACACUUUCAGUGACUGAUUUGAAACCAGUUGUACCGUAUUAUUAGGAAAGGCGCCUUGAUGAAAAGA
rnacentral:lncRNA from 10 species